rnacentral:rRNA from 1 species
UGGGGAAUAUUGGACAAUGGGCGAAAGCCUGAUCCAGCCAUGCCGCGUGUGUGAAGAAGGUCUUCGGAUUGUAAAGCACUUUAAGUUGGGAGGAAGGGCAUUAACCUAAUACGUUAGUGUUUUGACGUUACCGACAGAAUAAGCACCGGCUAACUCUGUGCCAGCAGCCGCGGUAAUACAGAGGGUGCAAGCGUUAAUCGGAAUUCCUGGGCGUAAAGCGCGCGUAGGUGGUUUGUUAAGUUGGAGGUGAAAUCCCCGGGCUCAACCCGGGAACUGCAUUCAAAACUGACUGACUAGAGUAUGGUAGAGGGUGGUGGAAUUUCCUGUGUAGCGGUGAAAUGCGUAGAUAUAGGAAGGAACACCAGUGGCGAAGGCGACCACCUGGACUAAUACUGACACUGAGGUGCGAAAGCGUGGGGAGCAAACA